rnacentral:lncRNA from 1 species
UGGCGUAGGUGUAUUUGGAUGUCGGCAGCACCCUGACAGCGAUUAGGAUAUCCUUCGUCUGCUAGUCUUUGAUCCUUGAAUUCUGUGGAGCUCAAAUAGACAACAAAGCUUUGUGAAACUAGUUAAGUGUUAGUAUAAAUAUCUAGCCUUUAUCAUGUUGAGCCUCCUCAAUAAAUGUUACUCUCUUUAGUAGGAUCAUAAAUUUAUUUUUAUAAUUUUAUUUUUAUAGGACAGGAAUAUAUUUAUUUUAUUUUUACGCCACCACAGUGAAUGUACUUAUGGGUUUUAUGCUGUGAGCAUACUCACAUGGGGCUUAGUAUUUUUAAUAUUUUUAUUUUCUUUUCAAGAUGAUAUAAACCUGAUUAACUAAGCAAACUAUUUUAAAUAAUUGAAAGGAAAAGGUUAACUACCAAGUUUACCUCUUGGCAAGGCGUUCGGUGUUUUUAAGUCCUCUGAACGGGACUCUCUGUUUUCUCAGUCGUCCUGGGAUUCGCUGGAUGGCGUAGUCGGUGGUUCCGGCAGCACCUCCUCUUCGUGUAUAACUAUCUUCUCUCUCCACCCUGACUCAGUGCUACGGUCUCCUCAGGACAAUUUUGUUCAAGCUGUAUGUCUUCAGGCCUUACAACUUCUCCUUCAUAGUCUACCCGUCCGUCCUUGAUGAUUUGCCAUCUCUGAUUGCGGUUGCGUCGUCUUCUUCUUGUCCUGACCUGCUUAGAGUCUUCAACUAUAUGGUUAGGGUCAGUAAAAUAGCAGCGUACCUUCUCACAGGGAAAGUGCAUGUGGACUUCUCUGGUUCCAAUGUAGAUGAUUGCUUUAACGGUUCUUGAGGAACGGCUCCCAAGGAUGGUGGGUGGAUCAUACUUGUCCGGAAUGUCUGAUCUGCCUUCUGGAGCUAAAUGUAUGUCGGUUUUAGGGGCAUGGUUCCGAACAUGAGCUGAUAGGUGCCUG